rnacentral:rRNA from 1 species
GAGUUUGAACCUGGCUCAGGAUGAACGCUGGCGGCGUGCCUAAUACAUGCAAGUCGAGCGAACAGAUAAGGAGCUUGCUCCUUUGAAGUUAGCGGCGGACGGGUGAGUAACACGUGGGUAACCUACCUAUAAGACUGGGAUAACUUCGGGAAACCGGAGCUAAUACCGGAUAAUAUUUAGAACCGCAUGGUUCUAAAGUGAAAGAUGGUUUUGCUAUCACUUAUAGAUGGACCCGCGCCGUAUUAGCUAGUUGGUAAGGUAACGGCUUACCAAGGCGACGAUACGUAGCCGACCUGAGAGGGUGAUCGGCCACACUGGAACUGAGACACGGUCCAGACUCCUACGGGAGGCAGCAGUAGGGAAUCUUCCGCAAUGGGCGAAAGCCUGACGGAGCAACGCCGCGUGAGUGAUGAAGGGUUUCGGCUCGUAAAACUCUGUUAUUAGGGAAGAACAAAUGUGUAAGUAACUGUGCACAUCUUGACGGUACCUAAUCAGAAAGCCACGGCUAACUACGUGCCAGCAGCCGCGGUAAUACGUAGGUGGCAAGCGUUAUCCGGAAUUAUUGGGCGUAAAGCGCGCGUAGGCGGUUUCUUAAGUCUGAUGUGAAAGCCCACGGCUCAACCGUGGAGGGUCAUAGGAAACUGGGAAACUUGAGUGCAGAAGAGGAAAGUGGAAUUCCAUGUGUAGCGGUGAAAUGCGCAGAGAUAUGGAGGAACACCAGUGGCGAAAGCGACUUU